ACAUACUCUUCCACAGGAUCUUCGGCUACUCUAUGGCAGUAUAUGUUACUGAGCCUAGAGACUGAAGUUCCUUAGAGUCUGAUGCUCCACUUGAGCACCCAACGGGCCUCAGCAUCUAUCUUUCGGUGGCACUUGUCUACCGUCUCAUGUUUUUGGCCUAAAGUACAGAUCCACCCCCAACAACAGCCAUACCAAGGGAGCUCUA
rnacentral:lncRNA from 1 species